CAGCCUGAGAAGGACUUCUUUGGACGUGUGGUCGUCAGGAGCACAGCAGUCCCGAGUGCAGGGGACACGGCCCCGGAGCAGGACUCAGUGGAGCGGCGCAUGGGCACAGCGGUGGGCAGGAGCGAGGUCUGGUUCCGCUUCAACGAGGGUGUCUCCAACGCCGUGAGGCGCAGCCUGUACAUCAGGGACUUGCUCUAGUUCUCUCUGAGCCGCGGACAUGCCCCCGCAUUGCUUCCCGCAGAGUGCAGAGACAGGAAGCUGGAGAUGUCUUUAUAAAGUCACACCUUUACAGACUGUAAUCACGUGCGAGUGGAGUGGGGUUCACAGGAUGGUGGGAGUGGGGCCGGGCGUGGGCUCAUAGGAUGGUGUGAGUGGGGCCGCGAGUGGGGCUCACAGGAUGGUGGGAGUGGGGCCAGGCGUGGUCUCACAGGAUAGAGUGAGUGGGGCCGGGCGUGGUCUCACAGGAUGGAGUGAAUGGGGCCGGGCACAGUCUUACAAGAUGGUGUGAGUGGGGCCGGGAGUGUGGCUCACAGGUUGGUGUGAGUGGGGCUGGGAGUAGGGCUCACAGGUUGGUGUGAGUGGGGCCGGGCGUGGGGCUCACAGGAUGGUGGGAGUGGGGCCGGGCGUGGUCUCACAGGAUAGAGUGAGUGGGGCCAGGCGUGGUCUCACAGGAUGGAGUGAAUGGGGCCGGGCACAGUCUUACAAGAUGGUGUGAGUGGGGCUGGGAGUGGGGCUCACAGGUUGGUGUGAGUGGGGCCGGGAGUGGGGCUCACAGGUUGGUGUGAGUGGGGCCGGGCGUGGGGCUCACAGGAUGGAGUGAGUGGGGCCAGGAGCGGGGCUCACAGGAUGGUGGGAGUGGGGCCGGGAGUGGGGCUCACAGGAUAGACUGAGUGGGGCUGGGCGUGGUCUCACAGGAUGGAGUGAAUGGGGCUGGGCACAGUCUUACAAGAUGGUGUGAGUGGGGCCGGGAGUGGGGCUCACAGGUUGGUGUGAGUGGGGCCGGGCGUGGGGCUCACAGGAUGGAGUGAGUGGGGCUGGGCGUGGGCUCACAGGAUGGUGGGAGUGGGGCUGGGAGUGGGGCUCACAGGAUGGAGUGAGUGGGGCCGGGCACAGUCUUACAAGAUGGUGGGAGUGGGGCCGGGCGUGGUCUCACAGGAUGGUGUGAGAGGGGCCGGGUGCGGGGCUCACAGGAUGGUGCAUUUGCCCUUUUCCACCCAUGGGUUGUUCUUCAUCAGGUCGGGGUUCAGGAAGGGGUCCUUGGGGAUCCCGUCCUCGAUCCACUUCAGCAGCCUGCGGGUGGGCGGGUGGCAGGUGAGUGGUGGCACCUGACCCCCGAGGGCCUCCUGCUGCACCUGCCUGUCGGCGGCGGUGGUCGUGGCUAUGGAAAUGAGCAGCCAGCGCAGGGCAGACAAAUGAGAGGCAAAUCAGGCAGGUGGGGCACUCACUCGGGGAUGGUCUUGGACGCCAUCUCCCGCUGGAAGGCCAGCUGGUACUUGAGACUCUCCACCUCUUUCUUCAUCUGUG
rnacentral:lncRNA from 1 species